CGUUUUCUUCUCUCUCUCCCUUUUCACAUUAACCCUUUCUUCAUCUCUCCCUUUCUCUCUCCUCUCACAUUUUAAUUAUUUGAAUUUUCUGCUCCUCAGAUCUCUCCCCUCCCUCUCACCCUUCCUUUAAAUUCUGGACCACAAUCAUCGGAGAGUUCACCGGAGUUUUGGUCGGCGGAGUAAGGCACCUUAGGGAGCGCUUUACGGGACCUCUUUGUUUGUCGGAGCUGAAGCACCGUCACUAGCAAAGCCGCGGAGCCAGACGCUUCUUGCGACGGCGACAAGGCCAAGAACGCAGAUUAAUGCGCAGAGGAGAGCGGCGAGGAUUGUUCUGUCAUUUUAUCAACUCGCGAGGGCGGUGGUUUCUUUGAAAUCUGAUUGUGGUUAGGCUCUCCCUCUCUUCGUAAUCGCCGCCGCCGUCAUGCUUCAUCGCAUCAUAAUGUUUCAUCGCCGCCAUCGUCGUUGAGUGAAUCUCUCGGCUUUGUUUGAGAAAUUUUAUUUGUGCGAUUGAAGAAGAAAAUGGGUCAGAUCCCAUACUCAGGCACAUAGUUCUUCCAAAGAAUCUCCUUAAGUCUAAGGCAGGGUUUUUGAUCUUCAUAUCUAAUUUUUGGGGGUUUUUUCCCGUUAUUCACAGCCAUUUUCACAUUCCCACAAGAGAGAGUUAUAAAGGAAAGAUAUGUUGGAAUGUACAGACUCAAUGCAUAUUUUUGAGAUACCCUGAAUUGGUUAUUUCUCAAAAUUCUCAUUUGUCAAUAUUUUGAUUUGAGCAAACAAAAUUCUUAAUUUGCAUAUUUUGAUUUGAGCUUAAAUUUUAUAGGGUAGUUUUCUAUUUAGAAUGUUUUCAUUUGUCUGGAUGAUUGCAGGUAUAUGAUUGCAGGUACAAAGGAUUUGAUGAAUAUGAAGGAAUUGAAGCCCUAUUAUUAAGGACCCAAUUUUCUUUAUUUCAUGUUUGAUGGUUAUCUCUUAAUGUCAGAGAAGACCUAUUAUUAAUCAAGUAGCUUUCAUUGUAGCUACUUAUUAUUUGUGGUGAUUAAUGUAAUAACACAAUUUUAAUUUUUUCUUUUAUUAUCUCGCACGCAUUGCAUGCAUAUAA